rnacentral:rRNA from 1 species
AGUGAACGCUGGCGGUAGGCCUAACACAUGCAAGUCGAACGGCAGCACAGUAAGAGCUUGCUCUUACGGGUGGCGAGUGGCGGACGGGUGAGGAAUACAUCGGCAUCUACUUUUUCGUGGGGGAUAACGUAGGGAAACUUACGCUAAUACCGCAUACGACCUACGGGUGAAAGCAGGGGAUCUUCGGACCUUGCGCGAUUGAAUGAGCCGAUGUCGGAUUAGCUAGUUGGCGGGGUAAAGGCCCACCAAGGCGACGAUCCGUAGCUGGUCUGAGAGGAUGAUCAGCCACACUGGAACUGAGACACGGUCCAGACUCCUACGGGAGGCAGCAGUGGGGAAUAUUGGACAAUGGGCGCAAGCCUGAUCCAGCAAUACCGCGUGGGUGAAGAAGGCCUUCGGGUUGUAAAGCCCUUUUGUUGGGAAAGAAAAGCAGCAGGUUAAAACCCCGAUGUUCUGACGGUACCCAAAGAAUAAGCACCGGCUAACUUCGUG